rnacentral:rRNA from 1 species
UGGCGGCGUGCCUAAUACAUGCAAGUCGAACGCUUCUUUUUCCACCGGAGCUUGCUCCACCGGAAAAAGAGGAGUGGCGAACGGGUGAGUAACACGUGGGUAACCUGCCCAUCAGAAGGGGAUAACACUUGGAAACAGGUGCUAAUACCGUAUAACAAUCGAAACCGCAUGGUUUUGAUUUGAAAGGCGCUUUCGGGUGUCGCUGAUGGAUGGACCCGCGGUGCAUUAGCUAGUUGGUGAGGUAACGGCUCACCAAGGCGACGAUGCAUAGCCGACCUGAGAGGGUGAUCGGCCACAUUGGGACUGAGACACGGCCCAAACUCCUACGGGAGGCAGCAGUAGGGAAUCUUCGGCAAUGGACGAAAGUCUGACCGAGCAACGCCGCGUGAGUGAAGAAGGUUUUCGGAUCGUAAAACUCUGUUGUUAGAGAAGAACAAGGAUGAGAGUAACUGUUCAUCCCUUGACGGUAUCUAACCAGAAAGCCACGGCUAACUACGUGCCAGCAGCCGCGGUAAUACGUAGGUGGCAAGCGUUGUCCGGAUUUAUUGGGCGUAAAGCGAGCGCAGGCGGUUUCUUAAGUCUGAUGUGAAAGCCCCCGGCUCAACCGGGGAGGGUCAUUGGAAACUGGGAGACUUGAGUGCAGAAGAGGAGAGUGGAAUUCCAUGUGUAGCGGUGAAAUGCGUAGAUAUAUGGAGGAACACCAGUGGCGAAGGCGGCUCUCUGGUCUGUAACUGACGCUGAGGCUCGAAAGCGUGGGGAGCAAACAGGAUUAGAUACCCUGGUAGUCCACGCCGUAAACGAUGAGUGCUAAGUGUUGGAGGGUUUCCGCCCUUCAGUGCUGCAGCUAACGCAUUAAGCACUCCGCCUGGGGAGUACGACCGCAAGGUUGAAACUCAAAGGAAUUGACGGGGGCCCGCACAAGCGGUGGAGCAUGUGGUUUAAUUCGAAGCAACGCGAAGAACCUUACCAGGUCUUGACAUCCUUUGACCACUCUAGAGAUAGAGCUUCCCCUUCGGGGGCAAAGUGACAGGUGGUGCAUGGUUGUCGUCAGCUCGUGUCGUGAGAUGUUGGGUUAAGUCCCGCAACGAGCGCAACCCUUAUUGUUAGUUGCCAUCAUUUAGUUGGGCACUCUAGCAAGACUGCCGGUGACAAACCGGAGGAAGGUGGGGAUGACGUCAAAUCAUCAUGCCCCUUAUGACCUGGGCUACACACGUGCUACAAUGGGAAGUACAACGAGUCGCAAAGUCGCGAGGCUAAGCUAAUCUCUUAAAGCUUCUCUCAGUUCGGAUUGUAGGCUGCAACUCGCCUACAUGAAGCCGGA